AGAGGAGGCACUGGCAGAGGCCUUCCUUUGUGUAUUAGUUUGGCCUUGGAUUCCUGGAGUUGGUAUGCGUCUUAAAUAUUUGUAAAUUGGCUGCCUGAAUAUCUUUUGCAGGAGAAGGAAAUUGUCAACUUCCUAUUUCCCCAGCCUGAGGGAGGCCCCUCAUUUGAGAAUGGUGGCAUAAAAUUACCACAGGGAAUGAAAGGUUUCUGAAAUUCUCUACCUAGGAGGAGUUAGAGGAAGACUUUCUGGCUAAGUAGAAGAAGCACACCCACUAAGAGAGAACCCAGUGCAGUGACCAGCACAGCUUGUGGAACCUGACACCCUUGACUCCUGGGAAC
rnacentral:lncRNA from 1 species